AUUGAACGCUGGCGGCAGGCCUAACACAUGCAAGUCGAACGGUAACAGGAAGCAGCUUGCUGCUUUGCUGACGAGUGGCGGACGGGUGAGUAAUGUCUGGGAAACUGCCUGAUGGAGGGGGAUAACUACUGGAAACGGUAGCUAAUACCGCAUAACGUCGCAAGACCAAAGAGGGGGACCUUCGGGCCUCUUGCCAUCGGAUGUGCCCAGAUGGGAUUAGCUAGUAGGUGGGGUAACGGCUCACCUAGGCGACGAUCCCUAGCUGGUCUGAGAGGUUGACCAGCCACACUGGAACUGAGACACGGUCCAGACUCCUACGGGAGGCAGCAGUGGGGAAUAUUGCACAAUGGGCGCAAGCCUGAUGCAGCCAUGCCGCGUGUAUGAAGAAGGCCUUCGGGUUGUAAAGUACUUUCAGCGGGGAGGAAGGGAGUAAAGUUAAUACCUUUGCUCAUUGACGUUACCCGCAGAAGAAGCACCGGCUAACUCCGUG
rnacentral:rRNA from 1 species